GGCCAGACUCCUACGGGAGGCAGCAGUGGGGAAUAUUGCACAAUGGGGGGAACCCUGAUGCAGCGACGCCGCGUGGGUGAAGAAGCGCCUCGGCGCGUAAAGCCCUGUCAGCAGGGAAGAAAAUGACGGUACCUGAAGAAGAAGCCCCGGCUAACUACGUGCCAGCAGCCGCGGUAAUACGUAGGGGGCAAGCGUUAUCCGGAUUUACUGGGUGUAAAGGGGGCGCAGACGGCGAUGCAAGCCAGGAGUGAAAGCUCGGGGCCCAACCCCGGGACUGCUCUUGGAACUGCGUGGCUGGAGUGCAGGAGGGGCAGGCGGAAUUCCUGGUGUAGCUGUGAAAUGCGUAGAUAUCAGGAGGAACACCGGUGGCGAAGGCGGCCUGCUGGACUGCAACUGACGUUGAGGCCCGAAAGCGUGGGGAGCAAACAGGAUUAGAUACCCGAGUAU
rnacentral:rRNA from 1 species